GCCACAUUGCCACACCCUGACUCCGCCAUCAAAAACAUCUCCAAAACCUCAUUCCGCAAUGAGACCCGCAGCCGCAGCAGCCACCGCUACCACCGCCGCGCUCCGUCUCCGCGCCGCCUCCCUCUCGCCUUCUCUCGCUGCCUCCCUCUCGCCUUCUCUCGCCGCCCUCCUUUCUCAUCGUAGAUCCUCCCUCAUUCUUCCUCCGCUGCGCCGCAUCUGCUCCCUUGCGCCUCCCCACUCCUCCGCCGCCCCCAAUUCGCAGCCCCCGCCGCAGUUGCUCUCUCCCAUCAUGGACGCGCAGUUCGUGCUCUUCCGCGCGCAGCUCGACGAGUCUUCCACCCUCCGCGACCGCAUCCGUGCCGUCGUCGCCGAGAUUGAGUCCGCCUCCCGCGUCGCCACCGCCGCGCUCCUCCUAGUCCACCAGCCCGUCCCCCUGGCAGAUGUGCUUGUGAAAGCCAAGGCGCAGGUAGAGGUGAUCAAGGGGUUGUACGCGCGCCUGGCGGAAGUCCUCAAGGAAUGCCCUGGGCAGUACUACAGGUACCAUGCUGAUUGGAGGACUGAGACACAUAUGGUAGUGUCGAUGCUUGCAUUCAUGCACUGGCUGGAGACAGGUGGCCUACUCAUGCAUGCUGAAGCCCAGGAGAAGCUAGGGUUGUGCUCUGGGGAGUUUGGCCUUGAUGUUGAGGACUACCUGACAGGACUGUGCUUCAUGUCCAAUGAAUUUGCAUCCUCCAUCUUUUGCGUGAGGCCCGCAACCUCUCCAUGUUGAGGCAGCCGUCGCGGUGCCUUCGUCGCCUCCCUGGGCUUCGCCACCGCCUAGAUUUGUAGUAAAUCGCGUCACUGCUGGCGACUAUGACUGUCCUAAAAGGGUUUUGGGCUUCUUGACCGAUCUUCAUGCUUCGUUUAGGAUGCUGAAUCUGCGCAAUGACUUCUUGCGUAAGAAAUUUGAUGGGAUGAAGUAUGAUUUGAGGAGGGUGGAAGAGGUCUACUAUGAUGUGAAGAUCCGUGGACUUGUACCUGCGUAGUUGAAACAAGAGACUUAGAAUCCUUGGUAAUGUUAGAUUGUUAACAUACCGUGGUUUGGCUUUUUGUCAUCCAUAACGUGUUCAUCUAGCUAAAAUGUGAAAAAUAUUCUGUUGGAGCGUAUGUGUUAUGGACUGAACUUGGGGGCACUCGAAUGACCUUGCUCAUUUCUUUUACUGUGGCACCACAUGUUCAUGCAUUUGACCCCGGGAUGUAGAUCGAGUUAGAUUUCGUGAACUCUGGAGAGAAUAAUUUUUAUUGGCUCACUUUGCCUUUCACAAAUCUUCA